UGGUUUAUAGUUCAAUGGAUAAGAACACUUCACUACGAAUGAAGAGAUGAGAGUUCGAAUCUUUCUAAGCCAA
rnacentral:tRNA from 2 species